rnacentral:rRNA from 1 species
GAUGAACGCUGGCGGCGUACCUAAUACAUGCAAGUCGAGCGAAUGGAUUAAGAGCUUGCUCAUAUGAAGUUAGCGGCGGACGGGUGAGUAACACGUGGGUAACCUGCCCAUAAGACUGGGAUAACUCCGGGAAACCGGGGCUAAUACCGGAUAACAUUUUGAACCGCAUGGUUCGAAAUUGAAAGGCGGCUUCGGCUGUCACUUAUGAAUGGACCCGCGUCGCAUUAGCUAGUUGGUGAGGUAACGGCUCACCAAGGCAACGAUGCGUAGCCGACCUGGGAGGGUGAUCGGCCACACUGGGACGGAGACACGGCCCAGACUCCUACGGGAGGCAGCAGUAGGGAAUCUUCCGCAAUGGACGAAAGUCUGACGGAGCAACGCCGCGUGAGUGAUGAAGGCUUUCGGGUCGUAAAACUCUGUUGUUAGGGAAGAACAAGUGCUAGUUGAAUAAGCUGGCACCUUGACGGUACCUAACCAGAAAGCCACGGCUAACUACGUGCCAGCCGCCGCCGUAA